rnacentral:lncRNA from 10 species
GUGGCGGCUUGUGGGGCUGCCCGUCCACUUGCUCUUUUUGCGGUUCUACAAGCGUGACAAAGACGAGCAUUACCGGACCUAUGAUGCCUACUCCACUUUCUACCUGAAUUCCAGUGGCCUCAUUUGUCGCCAUCGUCUAGAUAAAGUGAGUCCUAGCCCUGAUCCUUGACCUUGGAGUGGAGGCAGCACUGAAGACUGCUACGCCCAAGAGAAGGAGGUGGAGGCAGCCAAGAAUCUCAGGAGCCAGCUUCCUCUCCUCGUUUCUCUCCUUCCUUCCUUUCCAUCUCAUGCUGUGUAAAGCUGCUGUGUAAUUUAACUUGUAAAUAAUAAAGUUUAACUGACUAUA